UAGGCAGGUACAGAGGGAUGCUACCGGGCGCCGGAUGCGGAUCUCGAAAGCCUGUCCCAGUUCGGACUGGAGUCUGCAACCCGACUCCACGAAGUUGGAUUCGCUAGUAAUCGCGCAUCAGCCAUGGCGCGGUGAAUACGUUCCCGGGCCUUGUACACACCGCCCGUCAAGCCAUGGGAGCCGGGGGUGCCUGAAGUUCGUGACCGCAAGGAGCGACCUAGGGCAAAACUGGUGACUGGGGCUAAGUCGUAACAAGGUAAC
rnacentral:rRNA from 1 species